GCGGGUGUAACUCAGUUGGUAGAGUACCUGCUUCCCAAGCAGGCUGUCGCGCGUUCGAAUCGCGUCACCCGCUC
rnacentral:tRNA from 1 species